rnacentral:rRNA from 1 species
AUUGAACGCGGGAGGCAGGCUUAAUACAUGCAAGUCGAGCGGGGUGAUGGUGCUUGCACUAUCACUUAGCGGCGGACGGGUGAGUAAUGCUUAGGAAUCUGCCUCUUAGUGGGGGACAACAUCUCGAAAGGGAUGCUAAUACCGCAUACGUCCUACGGGAGAAAGCAGGGGAUAACUGGUGACAUUGCGCUAAGAGAUAAGCGUAAGUCGGAUUUGCUAGUUGGUGGGGUAACGGCCUACCAAGGCGACGAUCUGUAGCGGGUCUGAGAGGAUGAUCCGCCACACUGGGACUGCGACACGGCCCAGACUCCUACGGGAGGCAGCAGUGGGGAAUAUUGGACAAUGGGGGGAACCCUGAUCCAGCCAUGCCGCGUGUGUGAAGAAGGCCUUAUGGUUGUAAAGCACUUUAAGCGAGGAGGAGGCUCUUUUGGUUAAUACCCAAGAUGAGUGGACGUUACUCGCAGAAUAAGCACCGGCUAACUCUGUGCCAGCAGCCGCCGUAA